rnacentral:misc_RNA from 1 species
GUCAAUGUGGGAGCUGGCUUGCCUGCGAUGGCGCGAGUGGAUUCAGCACCGCUAUCGCAGGCAAGCCAGCUCCCACA